rnacentral:rRNA from 1 species
UGAGCAACCUGCCCUUAGCUCUGGGAUAACCCCGGGAAACCGGGGCUAAUACCGGAUAUGAGUCCGAGCGGCAUCACGCGGACUGGAAAGUUUUUCGGCUAAGGAUGGGCUCGCGGCCUAUCAGCUUGUUGGUGGGGUAAUGGCCUACCAAGGCGACGACGGGUAGCCGGCCUGAGAGGGCGACCGGCCACACUGGGACUGAGACACGGCCCAGACUCCUACGGGAGGCA